UUAAUUUGGUUGAGAUACGAGAGAUAAAUUUUGUGUAAAUGCGUUUGGCUCCACAACUCUUUAUGUCAACAAUUUUUAAAUUUAUCUCAUUCAAAUCAUAAAAGUAGAGAAAUGAUUAUUGACAAUCACUGAUUAUGUACUUCAGUAAUCCCUACAACAUAACAUACGUGAUCUUUGGAACUCUUUCCACCCAGCAUAAUGUAUCAUGAUGGCAACUCUAUGUUCAUAGCUUUUGAUAUAUAUGCAAUAAUCUUAUAAAGGCUUGAACUGAAGACACAGUGAACUUCGAAGCCUGCAAAAAGAAAUUUAAUUAAAUUAUCCUAAAUCAUCAACUCAAACUAAAUAAAGCACUCCGUACACUUUUAAAAUUCUAAAUUGACCUGGCUAUCAAGACUCGCUUGGAAAUAUUUUUGUCUUGCUGGGAAUUUUUCUUGAAAAAAAUUGUUAGUUAUGGAGGGAAAUAAUAGAAAGAAAAUUAACAUAAUUAACUUCUCCGUACCAUUACUUUUUAAUUUUAUUGUCAGUUGUACAAAAAAAAUCAUUCCAUCUCAUAACCCAAUGCAAACCACAGAGUAAUGUGCAAAGGAUAAACUUAUCUUUAAUAUUGUAGCCAUUAAAUGCAACUUGAGAAAACCAUGACAGGAUUUCCAACAUCCUAAGUGUCUCGUUCUAACCUAGUAUAGAGGGAAACACAGUCACAUCUUAUCUGAUUCUGCUGGAAUGCAAAAAGUAAAAUUUAUUCAUUUUGCUUGCAGAAGAAAAUGCUAAUUCUAUUCUACCUUAUUUAUUCCUUCAUCCAAAACUGUUCAGCAAAAGCAUCUAUAAGACAGUAGGAGCAUUUUGGACAUCGGUAAGUAGCCAUGAAUACUUACUCAAGUCUGUCUUGAACUUCUCUUUGUUCAUCCAAUCCUAAAAGUUGACGAUCCACGUCAUUAUAUCUGCAGUUGUUGUUAAGUUUUAACAAAUAAUCCAGGAUUGCUUCAUCAUAAAUCAGGAUUGUUUUUCAUUAGAGAAACUAUAAGUUCCUCUUCAGAAUCAAACAAUUUUUGGACUAUAAGUCAUGGCUAUUUGCGUACACUAUAAUAUUCGCCAUGACUAAUCAUAAACUCAUCUGAUUGUUAUUUUCAUGCCCAGCUGGUCCAUUUCAGCUAAGCUACCAGAUUUGACUUCCUUUUCUGCAGAGUUCUUCAUUUAUUUUAUAUUAAUAAUUUUUCCCUGUUCUUCACGUGGAUCAACUUUUACAAACAUACUUUUACGUAUACCUAACAUCUAAGAGGUUAGUAAUGAAUCACAAAAUUUGAAAAUAUUUCAUGCUUCUUUUCUAAAGAGAUAACCUUUCAGCCUAUGGAGAAAAUAAUAGGUUAUCAGCUUGAAUUAUGGACUAAUAAUGAGUAAGUCUUAUAUCCUGUUGAGAUAUAGGCUAUGAUGAUACACUAAUUCUGAGCCUAAUAAUUGGUCAUUUCCUUA
rnacentral:lncRNA from 1 species